AUGGUUUAGUGAGGCCUUCUGACUGGCGCCGAUACUCUGGCAACAGAGCGCCGGAUGCCGGGAAGUUGGUCAAACUUGAUCAUUUAGAGGAAGUAAAAGUCGUAACAAGGUUUCCGUAGGUGAACCUGCGGAAGGAUCAUUACCGAUACGAAUCCAAACAUGGUUAUCAUUAACCUGUGUGAACUGUACACAACAUUUAGGGGUCGGCGAUCGUGCCGUUAAAUGGUCGUGCGUUCGUUAAUUCGGCGUCCGGCCAGCCCCGUCUUUUUGACGCACUUUAAUGUACCAGUCUGAAACGUUGCCUGUGCUUGCGCAGGUGGGAAAAAUGAAAGAGAGAGACAACUUUUAACGGUGGAUCUCUUGGCUCACGUAUCGAUGAAGAACGCAGCCAGCUGCGAUAAGUAGUGUGAAUUGCAGAAUUCAGUGAAUCAUUGAAUCUUUGAACGCAAAUGGCGCUCUUGGGUUCUCCCAGGAGCAUGUCUGUCUGAGUGUCGGAUAUUAUCUGACGCACUUGAGUGUGCGGAAUUGAGGCGUCACGGCGUAAGUUCUCGCCGUGUCCCUUGAAGGAAAGCGUGCUAGACUCGCAUCGUGCGGUUAACGCCUGCACUUCAUGCGAAGGCUAAAAAUAUUUUGUCCUUCGUCUGGGCGCAGGUCCGCCAUCGCUUGUCUCGCCGAAAAAGGUGAAACGUUCUUAUCUUGACCUCAGAUCAGGCAAGGCUACCCGCUGAAUUUAAGCAUAUUAAUAAGCGGAGGAAAAGAAACUAACAAGGAUUCCCCCAGUAACGGCGAGUGAAGCGGGAAUAGCUCAAAUUUGAAAUCUCCGACGCUUGCGUCGGCGAAUUGUAGUUGCGAGAAGCACUUUCUCGGCGGAUCGGGCGUGCCUAAGUUGCUUGGAACAGUACGUCGCAGAGGGUGACAACCCCGUCUGUGGCACGGCCGGCCGCUCACGA
rnacentral:misc_RNA from 1 species